rnacentral:rRNA from 1 species
CUGCGAAUGGCUCAUUAUAUAAGUUAUCGUUUAUUUGAUAGUACCUUACUACUUGGAUAACCGUGGUAAUUCUAGAGCUAAUACAUGCUGAAAAUCCCGACUCCGGAAGGGAUGUAUUUAUUAGAUUAAAAACCAAUGCCCCCUGGGCUCACUGGUGAUUCAUGAUAACUUCUCGAAUCGCACGGCCUCGCGCCGGCGAUGGUUCAUUCAAAUUUCUUCCCUAUCAACUUUCGAUGUUUGGGUAUUGGCCAAACAUGGUCGCAACGGGUAACGGAGGGUUAGGGCUCGACCCCGGAGAAGGAGCCUGAGAAACGGCUACUACAUCCAAGGAAGGCAGCAGGCGCGCAAAUUACCCAAUCCCGAUUCGGGGAGGUAGUGACAAUAAAUACUGAUACAGGGCUCUUUUGGGUCUUGUAAUUGGAAUGAGUACAAUUUAAAUCCCUUAACGAGGAACAAUUGGAGGGCAAGUCUGGUGCCAGCAGCCGCGGUAAUUCCAGCUCCAAUAGCGUAUAUUAAAGUUGUUGUGGUUAAAAAGCUCGUAGUUGAACCUUGGGCCUGGCUGGCCGGUCCGCCUCACCGCGUGCACUGGUCCGGCCGGGCCUUUCCCUCUGUGGAACCCCAUGCCCUUCACUGGGCGUGGCGGGGAAACAGGACUUUUACUUUGAAAAAAUUAGAGUGCUCCAGGCAGGCCUAUGCUCGAAUACAUUAGCAUGGAAUAAUGAAAUAGGACGCGCGGUUCUAUUUUGUUGGUUUCUAGGACCGCCGUAAUGAUUAAUAGGGACAGUCGGGGGCAUCAGUAUUCAAUUGUCAGAGGUGAAAUUCUUGGAUCUAUUGAAGACUAACUACUGCGAAAGCAUUUGCCAAGGAUGUUUUCAUUAAUCAGGAACGAAAGUUAGGGGAUCGAAGACGAUCAGAUACCGUCGUAGUCUUAACCAUAAACUAUGCCGACUAGGGAUCGGACGAUGUUAUUUUUUGACGCGUUCGGCACCUUACGAGAAAUCAAA